UGAUCGAAUGAUGACUCCCACAUAUGCAUUCCUUGGAAAUCGGAACAAAAUGAGUGAGAAAAAAAAAGAAUUAUAAUGUCU